rnacentral:rRNA from 1 species
AACGAACGCUGGCGGCAGGCCUAAUACAUGCAAGUCGAACGAUGCAGCAAUGCAUAGUGGCGCACGGGUGAGUAACGCGUGGGAAUCUACCCUAGAGCGGGGGACAACCCGGGGAAACCCGGGCUAAUACCGCAUACGUCCUACGGGAGAAAGAGGGCCUCUGCUUGCACGCUCUCACUCCAGGAUGAGCCCACGUCCGAUUAGCUAGUUGGUAGGGUAAAGGCCUACCAAGGCCACGAUCGGUAGCUGGUCUGAGAGGAUGAUCAGCCACACUGGGACUGAGACACGGCCCAGACUCCUACGGGAGGCAGCAGUGGGGAAUAUUGGACAAUGGGCGCAAGCCUGAUCCAGCAAUGCCGCGUGUGUGAAGAAGGCCUGCGGGUUGUAAAGCACUUUCAGUGGGGAAGAACAGAUUCGGGUCAAUACCCCGGAGCCCUGACGUUACCCACAGAAGAAGCACCGGCUAACUCCGUGCCAGCAGCCGCGGU